rnacentral:lncRNA from 10 species
AGCAUUCUAAAAUGUAAAAUUCUAACAUAAAAUAAUUUCCUUUUCAUAUGAAAAUAAGUAAAAAAAUACAGAUAUACCAAACUGAUUCAGAAACAACUAAGAUAUAUCUUGAUUCACAUAUUGGCUCAAUAUAAUAUCAGUUUAUUGGAUGCUUUAUUAUAUGACAGGCACUCUGCCAACUGCUGGGCCCAGAAAUGCUGAAGAUGUGUCCCUAUCCCUAAGAGUUUCCAGUUAAAUGAGGAAGACAGACAUAUAAAGAAAUAUUUAUACUACAAUAUGACACUCAUUAACAGAAGACUGUACUCUGAGUUAUUUCAGGAAUCUUGUUACCCUUGACACCAUCAGCACAAUUUGUUGAGCUAGUUAGACUUUUAUGGUUGGGAAUGUCAAAGUUAGUGAAAUGAAUAAAACUAUCUGACUCAUAGAUUUAUUUAAUUAUGGCCUUGUUUUAUGAAAAUAUCAUGCUCUAUCCAAAUGGACUAGCUGCACAAAUGAAUCUCCAAAUUUAGAUUGUUAUUAUCAUAAGGCUGGUCAGUAUUGAUUUGUGAGCCUAUUGUCCUCUCAUUCACCAUCAAGGGUGUGACUGCUUUGGUUUCUACUUUUUGUAUAGUUUCUGGAGUUUUCUUUAGUGUUUUUAAAAGUCUUCAAACCAUAUCUAAUGACAAAUUGACUUAUGAAAAUUUGGCUUCAUAAUUCCUCUCCCAGAAAAUACAGUUCUGAUUAUGUUGAUGGGCAUGAGUAGGAAAAGGGAGACACAGCAGGACUCUAGCUCAAGUGGGAUAUAUAAGAUUUAAAGAGCUAAAUGAGGGAAUGACAUGUCUGAAUUAUCAAGCACACUGAGAAUAGACAGGGAGGCAAGGUCCAUACAAGAAACAGAUUCUGCAACACUGGUCAGGCUCAAUCCACCAUAAAAGCAAUAGAGCUAGUAGGACAGAUUGUCUGAGAUAACUGUACAAGGAGAUACAUAACACCAGCUAUUGUGGGAGAUGUUAAAGUGCCAAGCAUUUGAACAAAAAUAAAAAUGAGGCCUUGAUUUUGGAGGAAUGGAAGACAUGGUACUGGUUCAAACACUUAAAUGACUGACUUGAGGGAUCACUGAGAUUUGCAGGUCA